rnacentral:lncRNA from 10 species
AGCACUUCUAGCUCCUGUCACACGUUAAGGCAUAAAUGAGUUAAGUGUAAUUUGACAACAAUUCAGAAGCGAGUGGCUUCUCUACAAACGUCUAAUUAUUAAAUUUCUAUCCCCAAAGUAUAAUUAUUAAUGUAUGCACCCAAAAUGCCUCAAUCAGUGAAAAAUAUUGAUAAUGCAAUGUGAACAUACAAAAUAAGGAGAAAUACUAAGAUUACCUGGCAAAAUUAUUGACUGCAAUGAUUAAAACAUAUGGCAGAGAAAUAGGAUACUUUUUCUCAAAAAGAAUUUUCAUUCUGACAGCCCACACACCAGCCAAUAACUCCUAACAGCUUUAGGAGACAUGUCUUCGAGGAAAGUGAGAAGUUUUCCCUCUGUGGCUUUAUCAUGGAUUCAAUAUCACUCUUAGCCAGAGGCUGCCCUGGCUUCAUAACUACCAAACACUUGCAGAGACAACAGUGUCUCUCUAAAUGAGCUUUAGAAGGUUGUCAAGGACAGGACUGCUUGGCAGAAAAAUUCCUUGCUACAAGUGCCAACUUGCCCAAGUGCUUCAGGAUGCCAGCUACCCAGACACAUGGCCCUGAAAUAGCUGGAUGGAGAUGGGAAAGCCUUAUUUUUACCAUUUCUGGGUGUUUGUCAUUAGCAUCUUCCCCUCUUCUUCUUUCUCCUUCCAUUCCUUCUCUCCAUCAUCCUCAUAUAAGGCAGUGUCUGCUCCUGCUGUAUAUCUUCCUACCUCUCUUUCCCCCACAAGCACGGCAGUGGUCACACUAAGUGAUUGCAACAAUGGUGGCCACCUGGCAUUUCCUGCUUCUGUUAUUCCUACCUCCAUAAUAGUCUUCUCACCUAAGUUUCAUGUCUCCUAGAAUACCCUAGAGAGAUAAAGACCAAAGUUGAAUAUGGAAAUGUUGACCCCACAAAAGCCAAUGAUAAAAUUGUCACUAGUGUCAUGUUCAGAGUUGGCCUAUGUGCCCAUAGUGACACAUCGUGUAUUUCUGUGAUACAGGAUAUUAAAGGCGUGGGUGUUAAGCUACUUCACUGCCUCCUCUCUUACAAUGGGGUGUAAUGCUGAAGGUUCUUUGGAAAAGUCCUUUUCAUACUAUCUCUUCUAUGUUUAGUUGAGUAGCUAUUUCUACCUUUAUCAGCCAUCCUCAUAAUUUUUGCCUGCUCUGUCAGUAAAAAGCAAGAAUCCAAAAUUAUCUUGUUUGCUCUUCCUGAAUGACUUUCAACCCCCUCCUUCUUGGUUACUAUCCAAAAUGUUAAACUCGUAAAACAUAGGUCUUCUGAUUCACAGCUGGAUGUGUUUAACCCGUCCUAGAAGCCUGUGCUUUGAGCUUUUGAAUUAUUUAGACCUGCCAGAGAAGUCUGAAUCUGUUUCAUCUUCACCUUGUCUUUUAUAAUAUAUAUUUUUUUAUCUUACAGCGUUCCCAUUAGUCCUCAUGGGCAUGCUUAUGGGCUAAUACAGCCCUCAAAAUCACCUUCUGGCAUUGAAAAUUCUGCCUUGGGGCUUCUAAAGCACUGGUGUGACCAGAGAGUGUACCUCCAAACUCAGGGAUUUUUGCCAGUUUUGAUAAAUAAAGAAGUUCCAGUUUGAUUUGAUGAAAUUGGUUCUUGGAUCCAAGUUGGAAUGCAAGUUGGGAGCCAGUUGUGGAAUUUUCCAUCAUAACAUUUCCUGUGGAUACAAAGUGAACUGAAACCCAACCCAGGAAACAAGCAUAAAAUGUGCCAACGAGUUUAGAUUCACUAAAUUUUAUCUGCCACUCCUGAGGAAGGUCUAUUUAUCUGUCAUGUUGUUAUUUGGACAAUCAAAGUUAUUGCAGGUAGGAAAAUGGGAUGUUGUGGGACUUUGAUAUUAAUCUUCUUGGCCUGCAUUUACUCAGUGAUGCUCCCAGCAGCUGGAAGACCCUCCCAGUGAGAAGCCCAGAAGAUGUAGUGCCUUCAAGUCUUCAAAGCAGUUAGGAGGGAAAACUUGUUCCUUUUUAGGUGGUUUCUUUCCUUCAAGCGGCCUUAUAAUUUGCCACUCUCCUCUCCCUACACUCUUUACCUGCUGCUUUCAGUCAGUGAAGAACAGUUCAGCCUUGGAAUUGCCCAGGAUUUCGGAACUCCCUAGGGGGACAGGACAGAAAACUGUGCGACUGUGACGUAUACAUUCAUCCAACAAAUAUUUGUUGAGCCCCUACUAUGUGAUAGGGAUGGGAUGGUGAAAAAAUAUAGACAUGGUCCUUGUUUUACUUUGAAUCUGGGGUCAGAUCUCCACCUCACCAAUUGUCUGUGUGAGCUUGGUAAGAUACUUCAUUUCUAGGGUUUCCCUUUCAUCCUCUGUAUAAGGUUGUUGAGGAAAUUAAAUAAGAUAAUCUACUUGAAUGGCUUUUUGCAUACUAAAUGCUUAAUCAGCCCAACACACACACACACACACACACAC